GACGAACGCUGGCGGCGUGCCUAAUACAUGCAAGUUGAGCGCUGAGGGUUGGUACUUGUACUCACUGGAUGUUCAUCGCACGGGUGAGUAACACGUGGGGUCUCUGCCUUUGUGCGGGGGACAACAUUUGGAAACACAUGCUAUUACCCCAUAUAAACUUUAAACACAAGUUUUAAGUUUGAAGGAUGCUAUUGCAUCACUAAAAGAUGAUCCCGCGUUGUAUUAGCUAGUUGGUGAGGUAAAGGCUCACCAAGGCGAUGAUACAUAGCCGACCUGAGAGGGUGAUCGGCCACAUUGGGACUGAGACACGGCCCAAACUCCUACGGGAGGCAGCAGUAGGGAAUCUUCGGCAAUGGACGAAAGUCUGACCGAGCAACGCCGCGUGAGUGAAGAAGGUUUUCGGAUCGUAAAACUCUGUUGGUAGAGAAGAACGGUGGUGAGGGGGGAAAGCACAUCAAGUGACGGUAACUACCCAGAAAGGGACGGCUAACUACGUG
rnacentral:rRNA from 1 species